UUUAAAUCUAAAGUCUAGUUUAUUUUAAUUAUUGUAAUUUAAACAGAGUUAUUACAGCACUUUUCUGAAUCUUGAUUUCUGUGCAUUUGCUGCAGAGCUUUGUGGUGAAGCAGGACCUACAAGACAAGGUGACUGCAGCAAAAAAGGAAAACCUGAAACAAAAAUAUAAAGAUGUGAAAUGUCCUCAGACUGGUGUGAGCACUGAGGAUGGAGAGCCACAGCAGGUCCUGGAAAUGGUGUAGAGCCAUGGACGAGACGCUCCAUCACUCCUCCUUCCAAGUGACUUGAUCAAGGACACCCUGGAGGUGAUGUUGCAGAGAUUGAACCAGCAACCUUCUGCUGACCAGCUCAGUGGUUUAGCCCACCACACCACAAAAGUAAUGAAGCUAUGACAAAAAUUAUCAAGUAAUUGUAAAAAUAUUAAAUGAAAUAUGGCAAGAAACAGAAUGCUGACAUUAAUGAAUUGUAAAAUGUUUUAAUCUGUUUAUUUAGUCAUGCUGAUGGAGAGCACAUGAAUGUUUGCAGCAGACACAGCAGCAGCAGCCAGAUUGUCCUGCACACCUUCUCCCACUCUUGCUUCAUGGUUGUGGGGUUCAGGGGUCCAUCAUCAUCAUCUUCCUCAUCCUCUGGAUCAACGAUGUCCCCACUGAGAAGAGCAGCAGUGAGGGACAUGAUGGAUGAAGGUGUUCAUCAGCUGCUUCAUCAGAAUAAAGCUGCAGAAUUGGCACAGCUGUGUUGAGAUGGCAGUAGGAUUGUAAAUACGUGAUUGUUAGAUCAAUAAAUUUGAAUAAAGCUUUGUUUCA